rnacentral:tRNA from 1 species
CUCAGCCCCGCUACCUCC